CUACGUUCUAGAGAAUUUGAGCAGAGGUCUGUGUGUAUUCAUUUACCCUUUUUGUUGGAAAAACCUGAGGGAAAGAAAGAGAGAACCGAGAGAGGGCACCGAGAGAGAGAGAGAGAACUCACGGUGCUGAAGAAGAACAAAGAAGAGAAGAGGAAGACUUCAAGUUUUGUGCUGAAAAAUUGAAGGAAGAACUCAAGAGAUUCAACAAAUUAAAGUUCUAGUGUUUGAAGUAAAACAGAGUUUUUGGCCUGGCCUAAUUGGCCAGCCGACCAGCUUACUUUUUGGUCGACCAGCUCAUCUUUUGGCUGACCAUCCACUUUCUCCUUGACAGAAUCUAGCAAUCCCUCGGAUGUCGAGCAGAACAGUCUCCGAUGGUCUCCGAGGCCCCCUGAAGCUUCUGUUUUUAUUGUUUUUAUUUAAAUUAGAGAGAAUUGUGAGGAUUUAAUUUUGUUGUAUAUUUUUAUUCCUCUCCCCCCGUAUUCUGAUUUUUAAUAUUUAAAGUGAUGUAAUAAUUUCCCAUCCCCGCUUCUUCCUAUCUUGUUCUUUUAGUCGUUUUCCGUAUCCGUACAUAUGUUGUAUAUUUUGGUCUUGUCAUUAUAUCUGCAUUCAUGUUUCAUGCCUUAA